rnacentral:rRNA from 1 species
CAGUCGCCACGGGAAUACGAAGGGGGCUAGCGUUGCUCGGAAUUACUGGGCGUAAAGGGCGCGUAGGCGGACAGUUUAGUCGGGGGUGAAAGCCCGGGGCUCAACCUCGGAAUUGCCUUCGAUACUGGCUGUCUUGAGUGUGAGAGAGGUGUGUGGAACUCCGAGUGUAGAGGUGAAAUUCGUAGAUAUUCGGAAGAACACCAGUAACGAAGGCGACACACUGGCUCACUACUGACGCUGAGGCGCGAAAGCGUGGGGAGCAAACAGGAUUAGAUACCCCAGUAGUCCCUGUCUCUUAUAC